rnacentral:tRNA from 1 species
AGAGGUUUAGGUUAACACCAGACCAAGAGCCUUCAAAGCCCUAAGCGGGAGUGGAAAUCUCCCAACCUCUG